AGGACGAACGCUGGCGGCGUGCUUAACACAUGCAAGUCGAGCGGUAAGGCCCUUCGGGGUACACGAGCGGCGAACGGGUGAGUAACACGUGGGUAACCUGCCCUGUACUGUGGGAUAAGCCUGGGAAACUGGGUCUAAUACCGCAUAUGACUGCAUUCCGCAUGGGGUGUGGUGGAAAGUUCUGGCGGUACAGGAUGGGCCCGCGGCCUAUCAGCUUGUUGGUGGGUGAUGGCCUACCAAGGCGACGACGGGUAGCCGGCCUGAGAGGGCGACCGGCCACACUGGGACUGAGACACGGCCCAGACUCCUACGGGAGGCAGCAGUGGGGAAUCUUGCGCAAUGGGCGAAAGCCUGACGCAGCGACGCCGCGUGAGGGAUGACGGCCUUCGGGUUGUAAACCUCUUUCGACCGGGACGAGCGUGAGUGACGGUACCGGUAGAAGAAGCACCGGCUAACUACGCGCCAGCAGCCGCA
rnacentral:rRNA from 1 species